CCUACGGGAGGCAGCAGUAGGGAAUCUUCCACAAUGGGCGAAAGCCUGAUGGAGCAACGCCGCGUGGGUGAAGAAGGUCUUCGGAUCGUAAAACCCUGUUGGUAGAGAAGAAAGUGCGUGAGAGUAACUGUUCACGUUUCGACGGUAUCUAACCAGAAAGCCACGGCUAACUACGUGCCAGCAGCCGCGGUAAUACGUAGGUGGCAAGCGUUAUCCGGAUUUAUUGGGCGUAAAGGGAACGCAGGCGGUCUUUUAAGUCUGAUGUGAAAGCCUUCGGCUUAACCGGAGUAGUGCAUUGGAUACUGGGGGACUUGAGUGCAGAAGCGGAGAGUGGAACUCAAUGUGUAGCGGUGAAAUGCGUAGAUAUAUGACAGAACACCAGUGGCGAAGGCGGCUCUCUGAUCUAUAACUGACGCUGAGGUUCGAAAGCGUGGGUAGCAAACAGGAUUAGAUACCCUUGUAGUC
rnacentral:rRNA from 1 species